AUCGAUAGUAUUGCAGUCAAGGACUCGAAUGGCUCGGAUAAAUCAAAUGAGUCGGUCUCUGCAUCCGCAAGCUUGAGAUGUAGGCUGGGUCAACUGUCUGCAAAAUAUGUGGAUACCAACUAGUUGGCAACUGACAAUAAGAAGAUGCUAAUCUAUGUUCCAACUUGGGAAUUUUAUCUGAUGCAUCUAUGACUGUGGAAGUCACGUUCUCCCCUGAAAGAAAAAUAAUGAUGAU
rnacentral:lncRNA from 1 species